rnacentral:rRNA from 1 species
UACAGAGGGGGCAAGCGUUGUUCGGAAUUACUGGGCGUAAAGGGCGCGUAGGCGGCCUGUUAAGUCGAACGUGAAAUCCCCGGGCUCAACCCGGGAACUGCGUCCGAUACUGGCAGGCUUGAAUCCGGGAGAGGGAUGCGGAAUUCCAGGUGUAGCGGUGAAAUGCGUAGAUAUCUGGAGGAACACCGGUGGCGAAGGCGGCGUUCUGGACUGUUACUGACACUGAGGAACGAAAGCCAGGGGAGCAAACGGG